CAGAAUUGUUUUUUAUGGAUCCGCAGUCUACAUUUUCUUUCUUUCUCUCUCUCUUUUUUGGAGGGAGGGGUUGUCUAAUUCAGAAAUUCACAUUUUUGGAUGAGUCCCCUCUUUGUUAAAGAAAGGAUUCAGUCACACAGUUUCUCUCGCGGAGCUCCUAGCGAUGUUGUUCUGAACAUAAAGGACUUUCUUAUGGAACUUUAAAAAUGUCUUUAGAUAUUGCUUAUUUUGAUCUCGUACUUUAUACAUCGCUGAAUCUAAUUUUUCUUACGGGGUUUUAAUUACAUCUAAUUACCUCGAAAAUUUCAUUAUCUAAGGAAUAUUAAAAAGAAUCCAAGACUAAGUGCUGCUAAACGUGGGGCAGAACUUCGUAAAUUAUAUGGAAUUUGUGUAAAUCCAGAAACUAUAAGAAAAAUAAUGCGAUUUGCAGGAUAUCACGGGCGAGCAGCAAGAAAAAAUUUUAUAUCCGUAAAAACAAUCGAAAACUUCGACUCUCUUUUGCAAAAUCGAUGAAACAAAAGAUACCCGACUGCUGGAAAAAUGCAUCGUUUGUUGAAGAAAGCAAAUUUAAUAUCUUCGGCUCAGAUGGACGAGUGCUGGUGUGGAGGAAACCCAAAGAAGAAUUUCGGAAGCAAAACUUAAUACCAACCGUUUAAACAAGGCCGAGGAGGAGCUAUGGCAUGGGAAUAUAUGGCAUACUCCGGAGUUGGUAUUCUAGAGUUUAUACAUGGUAUCAUGGAUCAGUAUAAGUAUCUUGACAUUUUGAAGAGAAAUAUGGCAUCGUAAACACAAAAACGUAAUACAGAAUAGUUUUAAAUUCUACCAGGACAAUGAUCUAAAGCAAUAUUAGACUCUGGCUGUUAUAUAAGUAUCCAGAAGUAAUUAAGACACCACCCCAAGCGCCAAAUCUUAAUCCUAUUGAACAUAUUUGGCAGGACAAAAAUUCGAAAACAGAGCAUAUCUUCGCGAAAACAGCUGAAAGCAUUGAUUCAAGAAAAGUUGUAUGAAAUAAGUCCAGAAAUGAUAAGAAAAACAUGUGGAACCAAUGCUCGAAAGAUUAAAUGUAGUGAUCAAGUGUAAAGGUGAUCUCACAAAAUAUUAAGGUGCAAAAAAAAAGUUUGGUCAUUUUUAGCUUUUAUUAAAAGUGUCCGAUUAUGUUUGUGAGAAUAUUUCUCAUUAUUAAACAAACAAUUUUUUUGAAAAUUAUUUUUGGAAAUUUUGGAAAAUUUGGAUUAUUAAACAAACUAUUAGUUUUGGAAUAUAAUCUUAAUCUCUUCGAAAAUGUAUUUACCGUAAAAGAAUGUUGAAUUUACAUAUAAUCCAAAUAAAAGCAUUUCUUUUUGUUUUAAUUUAUUUUAGUUUCUAUGUUCAUUAAAGUAUACAAAAAUUCAAAGCCCCCCCCGAUCAUUUUAGUGAAUCACUGUAUUUCUUUCCUUUAUGAUGGUAUCACGAAGAAUUCACCACAGUUCAUGCAUAAAGUGUGAGUUUCAGCUGAGACUCGAACACAGAAUUUCCCAUUCCGCGAACAGGCUGCUGGUUUCGGAGGAUUUAUUCAAAUUUAGGAACCAGUGUCGUAUCUUUUAAGAAUAAAACUGCAGACUUUAACCUUCAACAGGAAGGGCUUUUAAUUUAGGCAAAUAAGAUCCGGUCAAUGAAAAAAGCUUUAAAUUCAUAAUUUAACUAAAGGCGCUCUUAUGCAAAUGAAAUUAGUGUAAAAAAUAACUUUGCCGAGUUUACCUGAACAGAUUUUAACUAUCUUUUGGUCUUCAGUAGUGACUAGAAACCAACUAAGACCAUCCUAAAUUUCUGAUAUUAAUGAAAAAUAAAGAGAUUAUUAAUGUAAGCAAUCAUUUCAAUAGAUUAAUUACAACUACGUGAAUUUAGUUGUGAUUUUUAAUUAAGAAUUUCCGAGAAUUGAAAAUUAUUUAUAAAGCACUGCUGUUAUUUUUAAUGCAGCAAUUUUAUUUUUUUCAUUUGAAUUUUUCGAAGUUCUUCAAUUCCUGUUCUACUGGUUGAACUAAAACUGUGAAAUGUUUUCAGUAGUAUCACCUUUCAGAUGAUAUUCGACUUCUGAAGCCUAAACUGAACGAAACAGAAAUGUAAACACAAAGCUGCUGUUGAAUAUUUUAUAACUUCUAUUGUGAAUUACAUGAACAGGUAGUAUGUAUACACGAUAUAGUAUCUUCCAUUAUUACUAUCUUAAAACUCAUUUCAUUAUCAGGCAAAUUAUAGUUUGUAUUAUUCAGUACACAUAUCUAUUAAAUAAUAGUGUAACAAGUUUUACAUCAGAGUAAUACUGUAUAUAAAAUGGUCGGAAACGUUAUUCCUAAACGAGGCUUAAUUGGGGUUAGAACGUAAACAAAAAAUAAUAUUGUGAAUUUUACUCUUAGUUUUUAUGUGUUUUACUUCAUUUAUUGUAAGAAAUUCUUUGCUAAUUUCUGUUUGUAUAUAAAUUUGUUUCUUAAAUUAAUAUCUUUGAUUUUAUUAUUUUAAAAGUGAUGUUAUUAUUCUUCAGAAUACUGAAACGUUUUAGCUGAUAUUUUGGACUUUUAUCCUAUUUCAACAAUUAAUCAUGUAUAAGUUGUCAAAUCUGAUAGAAGAGAUUAACAUUGUUUUUCAAAACAAGUUUGAAAACGCAAUUUAGUUUAAAUACAAUCUAUAUAUGACGGCAAAAUUCUUUGAAAGAAAAUGUAUGAAAUGAUUAUAAUACCUAAAAAGUGAAUAAGUAAAUAUUUCAUAAAAUAAUGAACCAGGAAAUAAACUUUACAGAAGGCAUUUAUUAUACAUAUAUGUACAAUGGGUUUCAAAGGAAGAUUAACUUUGUACAUUGCAUCACAAUGCCACACUUGGCCGAACACAUGAACGCGGAUUCUAAUCCCGUAUCCAAGACGAAUAUAAAAUAUAAAUAAUGUUAAAAAAGAAUACAUUUCGCGCAUACAGUUAAAUGCAUAUUCGCAAAUAAGUUAGAUUACAUAUAAAAACAUGCAAAUACUUUUUAGAUCACAUGUAUCGAGAUCCAAAAAUAGGAUGUAAAAAAUGCACAACACACCUUACAAAAUAUAAGUACUAUAUAUUUUUUUCAUUUUCCGCCCUUCUCAUACAUUCAGAGAAAAAUAUUCACACACCAAAAAGCAAUACUUAUUUUUAUGAUUAAUUAGUUAUAUGUGAACCGAUAAUAUGUGGGACACCAUCCCAAAUAUCCUUAAGAAUGUGUCUUAAAAAAACUUUUACUACAAUAAAUAUUAUUCAGUCUGCUGUGAAUCCGGAAUUGCUACAAAGGAAGAAGGCCAUUUUUCUGCUGAUUCGUUUAGCCUACAACUGUACUCGUACUUCCCAUUGCGGCAUUUCGGUAUACAGACAUACGACAUUUAAGAAGCCAUGGAACUCAAUGUGAAGGACGAUCGCUACAGAAGAGUUAUUUUGCAAAACAAAAGACAAAAGAAGGUCAGAACAAUAGGAAGAAGAGUACGCUUUUUAAACCGCCACAACAAGACGUGUCGCAAUAACCACAGCAAAGCUUCCCGAGCAUUUCCCGUUUCCUACAUACGUACAUAUUUUCCAUUAACAAGCGACGAUCGGCCUUGCUGCCAUAACUGAAUAUACUUCUGUCUUUCCCCUUUUCGGGCAUUGCGCAAAGAAAUCACCGAAUCAAAAAAACGGCCGAGGACUUCAGCGUUAUUUAUGAAUCGUAAAACUAAUCCUGUUUAGGAAUUUCAUUGGCUCCCUAUUGUUGGGAAGCUGCGAUUCAUGCAAAAACAUACGUGCUGAGAUAUUCGUGGCCUUGGCUGGGAAAUUUAGGAUAGAUUCUUUUCAUUUUAUCACACCUAUGUCAUUUUUCUAUUGCGUAUAGCCAAUAGUUUUCAAGCCAAACAUUUGAAUGAAAUAUCCAGUAUUCUGAACGCCAUUUUGUAGAGUAAAAUGA